AGCAGUCCGGCGUAUCAGAAGAACCUGACGGAGGAGAUGACCAAACUCCAGCGUUUAUACGGAGGAGGAGACCUCAGCAGCUUCCCUCAGUUCAGAUUCCCAGAAGCCAAACUAGAGGAGGUGACGACCAAAUGAACACUUCACCAUCACCGCGCUGGAAAUAUGAGCUCGAUAUUUAAUAAACAGUCUCUGGUCGAAACAUCA